CAGUGAGCCGAGAUCAUGCCACUGCACUCUAGCCUGGGUGACAGAGCAAGACUCUGACUCAAAAAAAAAAUAAAAAAUAAAAAAGCUCCAUCCUGGUCCACUCAUCUGGUUACUUGUUGUCAAGUGUCUCCGCCUCAUCCCUGUGCCAUGCACAUGGCCUGAGGGCUCAACAUUUGCUGGCUGGACUGAGCGGCGCACUGGCUGAACCAGGGGCUCCCUGUGACGACAAUGUCCAACCCCAGGGGAAGCCAGCUAUGGCAGAAAACUGGCAGGGUCUCUGCAAGCCAC
rnacentral:lncRNA from 1 species